rnacentral:rRNA from 1 species
UGAACGCUGGCGGCGUGCCUAAUACAUGCAAGUCGAACGAGUUCUCGUUGAUGAUCGGUGCUUGCACUGAGAUUCAACAUGGAACGAGUGGCGGACGGGUGAGUAACACGUGGGUAACCUGCCCUUAAGUGGGGGAUAACAUUUGGAAACAGAUGCUAAUACCGCAUAGAUCCAAGAACCGCAUGGUUCUUGGCUGAAAGAUGGCGUAAGCUAUCGCUUUUGGAUGGACCCGCGGCGUAUUAGCUAGUUGGUGAGGUAAUGGCUCACCAAGGCGAUGAUACGUAGCCGAACUGAGAGGUUGAUCGGCCACAUUGGGACUGAGACACGGCCCAAACUCCUACGGGAGGCAGCAGUAGGGAAUCUUCCACAAUGGACGCAAGUCUGAUGGAGCAACGCCGCGUGAGUGAAGAAGGCUUUCGGGUCGUAAAACUCUGUUGUUGGAGAAGAAUGGUCGGCAGAGUAACUGUUGUCGGCGUGACGGUAUCCAACCAGAAAGCCACGGCUAACUACGUGCCAGCAGCCGCGGUAAUACGUAGGUGGCAAGCGUUAUCCGGAUUUAUUGGGCGUAAAGCGAGCGCAGGCGGUUUUUUAAGUCUGAUGUGAAAGCCCUCGGCUUAACCGAGGAAGCGCAUCGGAAACUGGGAAACUUGAGUGCAGACGAGGACAGUGGAACUCCAUGUGUAGCGGUGAAAUGCGUAGAUAUAUGGAAGAACACCAGUGGCGAAGGCGGCUGUCUGGUCUGUAACUGACGCUGAGGCUCGAAAGCAUGGGUAGCGAACAGGAUUAGAUACCCUGGUAGUCCAUGCCGUAAACGAUGAAUGCUAGGUGUUGGAGGGUUUCCGCCCUUCAGUGCCGCAGCUAACGCAUUAAGCAUUCCGCCUGGGGAGUACGACCGCAAGGUUGAAACUCAAAGGAAUUGACGGGGGCCCGCACAAGCGGUGGAGCAUGUGGUUUAAUUCGAAGCAACGCGAAGAACCUUACCAGGUCUUGACAUCUUUUGAUCACCUGAGAGAUCAGGUUUCCCCUUCGGGGGCAAAAUGACAGGUGGUGCAUGGUUGUCGUCAGCUCGUGUCGUGAGAUGUUGGGUUAAGUCCCGCAACGAGCGCAACCCUUAUGACUAGUUGCCAGCAUUUAGUUGGGCACUCUAGUAAGACUGCCGGUGACAAACCGGAGGAAGGUGGGGAUGACGUCAAAUCAUCAUGCCCCUUAUGACCUGGGCUACACACGUGCUACAAUGGAUGGUACAACGAGUUGCGAGACCGCGAGGUCAAGCUAAUCUCUUAAAGCCAUUCUCAGUUCGGACUGUAGGCUGCAACUCGCCUACACGAAGUCGGAAUCGCUAGUAAUCGCGGAUCAGCACGCCGCGGUGAAUACGUUCCCGGGCCUUGUACACACCGCCCGUCACACCAUGAGAGUUUGUAACACCCGAAGCCGGUGGCGUAACCCUUUUAGGGAGCGAGCCGUCUAAGGUGGGACAAAUGAUUAGGGUGAAGUCGUAACAAGGUAGCCGUAGGAGAACC